rnacentral:rRNA from 1 species
GACGUAGGGCGCGAGCGUUGUCCGGAUUUAUUGGGCGUAAAGAGCUCGUAGGCGGCUCGUUGCGUCGGCUGUGAAAACCCGCAGCUCAACUGUGGGCUUGCAGCUGAUACGGGCGGGCUGGAGUUGGUAGGGGAGACUGGAAUUCCUGGUGUAGCGGUGAAAUGCGCAGAUAUCAGGAGGAACACCGGUGGCGAAGGCGGGUCUCUGGGGCCGGAAC